AUAGUCGAAUGUAUACAAAGAAAGUACCCUGUGAGUAAACUCAUUUUCAAACCGAUUUUUUAAAUUAUCUUUUCACCACUAAAACGCAUGAGACUUGUAGUUUUCAAAAAUGUUUUCAUUUUUGAUGAGACGCUGAAUAAAAGAAGUUUAAUCGCCGGCAAACGAAAACCCGCCAUUUCCCGCAAACCCCGGACUCGGCCCGUAUAGUCGGAUGUAUACAAAGAAAGUACCCAGGGAGUAAAAUCAUUUCCUGAACGAGUUUUUAAAUUAUUUUUUUCACCACUAAAACGCAUGAGACUUGUAGUUUUCAAAAAUGUUUUCAUUUUUGAUGAGACGCUUAAUGAAAGAGGUUUAAUCGCCGGCAAACGAGAAUCCGCGACUUCCCGUAAAUCCCGGGCUUGGCGCGUAUAGUCGAAUGUAUACAAAGAAAGUACCCUGUGAGUAAACUCAUUUCCAGAACGAUUGUUUAAAUUAUUUUUCCACCACUAAAACGCAUAAGACUAGUAGUUUACAAAAAUUUUUUCAUUUUUGAUGAGACGCUGAAUAAAAGAAGUUUAAUCGCCGGCAAACGAAAACCCGCCAUUUCCCGUAAAUCCCGGGCUUGGCCCGUAUAUCGAAUGUAUACAAAGAAAGUACCCUGUGAGUAAACUCAUUUUCAAACCGAUUUUUUAAAUUAUCUUUUCACCACUAAAACGCAUGAGACUUGUAGUUUUCAAAAAUGUUUUCAUUUUUGAUGAGACGCUGAAUAAAAGAAGUUUAAUCGCCGGCAAACGAAAACCCGCCAUUUCCCGCAAACCCCGGACUCGGCCCGUAUAGUCGGAUGUAUACAAAGAAAGUACCCAGGGAGUAAAAUCAUUUCCUGAACGAGUUUUUAAAUUAUUUUUUUCACCACUAAAACGCAUGAGACUUGUAGUUUUCAAAAAUGUUUUCAUUUUUGAUGAGACGCUUAAUGAAAGAGGUUUAAUCGCCGGCAAACGAGAAUCCGCGACUUCCCGUAAAUCCCGGGCUUGGCGCGUAUAGUCGAAUGUAUACAAAGAAAGUACCCUGUGAGUAAACUCAUUUCCAGAACGAUUGUUUAAAUUAUUUUUCCACCACUAAAACGCAUAAGACUAGUAGUUUACAAAAAUUUUUUCAUUUUUGAUGAGACGCUGAAUAAAAGAAGUUUAAUCGCCGGCAAACGAAAACCCGCCAUUUCCCGUAAAUCCCGGGCUUGGCCCGUAUAUCGAAUGUAUACCAAGAAAGUACCCUGUGAGUAAACUCAUUUUCAAACCGAUUUUUUAAAUUAUCUUUUCACCACUAAAACGCAUGAGACUUGUAGUUUUCAAAAAUGUUUUCAUUUUUGAUGAGACGCUGAAUAAAAGAAGUUUAAUCGCCGGCAAACGAAAACCCGCCAUUUCCCGCAAACCCCGGACUCGGCCCGUAUAGUCGGAUGUAUACAAAGAAAGUACCCAGGGAGUAAAAUCAUUUCCUGAACGAGUUUUUAAAUUAUUUUUUUCACCACUAAAACGCAUGAGACUUGUAGUUUUCAAAAAUGUUUUCAUUUUUGAUGAGACGCUUAAUGAAAGAGGUUUAAUCGCCGGCAAACGAGAAUCCGCGACUUCCCGUAAAUCCCGGGCUUGGCGCGUAUAGUCGAAUGUAUACAAAGAAAGUACCCUGUGAGUAAACUCAUUUCCAGAACGAUUGUUUAAAUUAUUUUUCCACCACUAAAACGCAUAAGACUAGUAGUUUACAAAAAUUUUUUCAUUUUUGAUGAGACGCUGAAUAAAAGAAGUUUAAUCGCCGGCAAACGAAAACCCGCCAUUUCCCGUAAAUCCCGGGCUUGGC